UACAGAGACUGCAAGCGUUUAUUCGGAUUCACUGGGCGUAAAGGGUGCGCAGGCGGUCGGGUGUGUCAGAUGUGAAAUCCCGAGGCUCAACCUCGGAACUGCGUCUGAAACUACUCGACUAGAGUACUGGAGAGGGUAACGGAAUUCACGGUGUAGCAGUGAAAUGCGUAGAUAUCGUGAGGAACACCAGAGGCGAAGGCGGUUACCUGGACAGUUACUGACGCUCAGGCACGAAAGCAUGGGGGAGCAAAAGGG
rnacentral:rRNA from 1 species